rnacentral:lncRNA from 1 species
ACCUAUCACACAGUCUCUGUUGAGCCACAUUAGUGGUAGGACGAACAUGAACCGUCAACAAUUUAGCAUAUAAAGCAACAAUCAUCUUACGCCUCCAGCCCCCAUAACCACUACCCGAGAAGGGAAGAGAGACCCCAGGGACAUCAGAGGAAUAUACAGAAAGGGGACUGGUAGAGUCUAUUGAGGCGGAGGUACCAGCACUCGUAUUAGAAGCCAUAACCAAACCAGAUAUUCACACACAAAACCACAUAUUCACACACAAAAACCAGAUACUCACAUACGGAGCCAGAUAAUCACACACAAAGCAUACAAUACUCAAGAUAAGGAAAGAGUUACCCUCCUUCUUCGCGACCGGAGAAGAUCGGCCUUCAAUUAAACAGAGAAAACCCUACGUACAAAACCCUAGGUGCAACCGUCGAAAGCCUUACUGUAAGUAUGGUCAGGGAUGCCGGAAAGUCACCCAAAACAUCCAUUGAGUGAGAAUCGAGCCACCGGAUAGCAGUAAAACUCUAGGUUAAACCACCAGAAACCCUAAAAGCCGAUAUGUCACCCAAAAAUUACCCAAAAAUCAUCAGAAAAUCUCCCAGAACGUUCGAGUGAAGAAAAUACACUCAGAUAUCAUGAAGAAAAACUCAGAAAGGCAUCCGAUUU